rnacentral:sRNA from 2 species
GAUAGAUGUACUGCGGUCUCUACUCUCUGCCGAGGAUCAACGGGUGUGGCGCUGGACGGGUUGGGCUUGGCGCUGCACCGCUACAUUCCUCGUUGUAGCGAGAAGAAGAUGGAAAAUUAACUGAGCAUCACUGUGGUUAGGACUGGAUAAGAGACAUAUCAAUCCAGCUUAGUCGCUGUGCUCUCUUCAAGUGUUUUGGAACCUUGCAAUUCGAUGGCGUGGUGAGUACUUCUCGAUGCCAAGCAAUAGUUAUGCCAACCAGCGUCAGUUAAGUAGAAGAAUAGAAGAAUAGAAGAAUACUAGAACUCGCAUCUACUGUAAGUGAAGGGCUCUCGGUACUAGCACUAGGCUAUUUUUUAGUAGCUUUGCCUACGGUCCUAGCAUUCUCAAUAACCACUAGUACUCGUAAUAAGCGCUGAAGAACAGACGUGUGUGCCGUCGCCAUCAUGAUCAUACCGGUUGAGCCUGUUCAAUUCUCCUAAUUGUCCCACGUGGCGAACUAAACUCUGCGCAAUCGCACCAACUGACAUCAUGAUGACACCCAGCUGGCUGGAAAAUUGGAAAAAGAAAGAAAAGAAAAAGAAAAAGAAAAAGAAAAAAGGGUUCAGCAUGUCUGGGCGGGCAUGAAAAUCUGAAUCCCUGGCUGAACAAAUUCUCAACCCAGCACGCCCAUCCAGCGAUUCUUGAUGAACUCCGGAAACUUCAACUUUUCAAUCAAAGAUCGUUGACUCAAGUGCUCACCGCGCUCAGCUUUGCCAAUGCCAUUCUCACCCCAUCUAGAAUACAAACCGCCAUCUUACUACCAAAGACGAAGGGGUGGUGGAGAUCGGGGUUGGGCGUUUGCAGGGUACAGUUGAACGCGGCUCAAUAAAAGCUGAUCACGAAUUGGAUGUUUGUCAAGAGAUUUCGAACCAUGGCAUUUGUUGUACAGUACAUUAUCUUAAGGAUUGUCCCCACAAGAUUGCAUGGUCUAUAAUUGUUCGAACUUCUGUCCAACGCUUGUCAAUAUAAUUUUCAACCCGUUAGAGUACGCCCACGUGCAUACAUAUAUACAUGGGGCAGAAUUAAAUUGCUAACACAGGAUUAGCGAUGGAAUUGGCGGUUUGGAAUUAGGAUUAGAGCUUGAUAGAGUUACUUGCGCCUAGAAGCACAGGGCAAAGGGAUAUACUAUAACCAUUCGAAAAGUCGAAAAGAGGUCAAAAUGGAGCCCUGUUCAACUCUGGACCCUGCCACCCCAUCCCUGCCAUUGCUGUCGAGUUUGAACCACGUUCAACUGAACGCCCCAACUUCUGUUGCGGUGUUUGUCAAGGAAAGUCCCACUUAUUCGCAUUCAAAAAAUACAUGCUAUUGUUCCAGGAACAUGGUUGGUAGUACUACAGAAGACUACGAGCACAGGCGGGAGACGACUGUCAAAGCGCGAAUCUAUCUUCGCAGUAUAGCCAG